AUAAGGUAAAUCAUUCACACCUUUACUUUAUCUUCGUAAUACAUCGUUGAUAACCAUAGUAUGCUUAAGGGCCAGUUGCUAGUAAAGAAGAAUCUUCAUUGGCACGUUUUCCAUAUCCAGACCAAGACUCAUCAUAAACGCGUACAUCCUUAAAACCGCACUCCUUAAGAGCAGCAAACAAUACAGAAGCAGUUACACCAGAGCCACAUGAAGUGAUUAUGGGAACAGACUUGUCUGUUAAACCAUGGCUAGAAAACACCUUUUCCAAAUCUUCCUCAGGCUUCGGAGCUGUAAUACCAGCAGCAGUGGUUUCGGUAAAUGGAAUGUUGAUGGACGUAGGAAUAUGCCCACUAGCUAAACCAGGACGAGAUUCGGGAACGUUGCCAAGAAACCUUUCAUGAGCGCGAGCAUCAACGAUGUGAACGCCUGCGGCAUCUGGACUUUCAAUCACCUUUACAAUGUCAUCAAAGGAAGCAACCAGAUCUUUGUUCAACUUAGCACCUUCGUAAACAACGGGCUUUGGAGUUCUAGGUUCUCCAGUUUCCAAUUCAAGACCCUCAGUUUUCCAUGCGUUAAACGCAUUAGGAAAUAAGAAAACAUGCUCAUGACCAAAGACUUUAAAGGUCCAGAAAACCCUAGGAGACGAAAAAAACCCUUUUCGGUCAUAAAUGAUAACAUUGGUCUAAAAUAUUAGUAAAAUUGAAGACUAAGUAAUUGGAAUUUCUAAACUACUACUUACGUUUCUGUCAAUUCCUAAUUUUCCAACGUAAGAGGCGAAUUCGUCAGCUGGAGGAAGCAUAUGAGGAAGGGGAUUUUUGUGAUCUUUAGCCUCAUCUAUAUCAAAGUAUUGAGCACCUGGAAGACGACUUUCUAAAUACUCCUUCUUUCCGUUUUUAGUGUCUGUUGGCAAGUACCAAGUAGCAUCCAAGAGAACGGUUUUUUGAGCAUUAUCCUUUAAUUUUUGCAAUACGCCCUUAAUAGGCAAAAUAAAAGAGAUUUUUUUACCAACAGAGAACAUUGUUUGAAGCAGAGUCUUAUUUUGUUUCAGCGAACUACAUAGACUUCGAAUUUCAAGUAAUCUUACGAAAGUACAGCGUUGGUUGCAGCUC